GCGGGCGUAGCUCAGCGGUAGAGCAUCAGCUUCCCAAGCUGAGGGUCGCGGGUUCAAGCCCCGUUGCCCGCUCCA
rnacentral:tRNA from 1 species